rnacentral:rRNA from 1 species
CGCAUCUGUGCAUGCAGCAUAUCAAUAAGCGGAGGAAAAGAAACUAACAAGGAUUCCCCUAGUAACGGCGAGUGAAGCGGGAAGAGCUCAAAUUUGAAAUCUUAAAGGGUUUCCCUUUACGAAUUGUAGUUUAAAGAAGUGUUUUCUGUUGAGGUUUUGGUAAAAGUUCUUUGGAAUAGGACAUCAUAGAGGGUGAGAAUCCCGUAUUUGACCUUUACUUUCAACUUUGUGAUACACUUUCAAAGAGUCGGAUUGUUUGGGAAUGCAGUCCAAAAUGGGUGGUAAAUUUCAUCUAAAGCUAAAUAUUGGCGAGAGACCGAUAGCGAACAAGUACCGUGAGGGAAAGAUGAAAAGAACUUUGAAAAGAGAGUUAAACAGUACGUGAAAUUGUCAAAAGGGAAGCGUUUGACACCAGUGUUGUUUUUCUGAAAAUCAAUUAAAGAACUGUUUAUGCUAAGUUGUUUAGACUUUAUCAGCUAACUGCUUAGUUUUGAGCUUUUCUUUAAUGCACUUUUCAGUUAACAAGUCAACAUCAAUUUCUUUUGCUGUAAAAAAGCUUGAGGAAGGUGGCUUGAGAUUCGUCUUAAGUGUUUAUAGCCUCUUGCCUAUGCAGUCGGAGAGAUUGAGGUCUGCAGCGUAGAUCCUUCGGGGCUAAAUGCAUUUGUGCUAAGUUAUAGCAUUUUAUAGACAACUUGUUGACUAUGAUUUGUCUUGUAGCUUACUCGCUUAUGUUAUUUUACCUACGCUUAGGAUGUUGAGCGCAUGUCUCUCUCU